rnacentral:snRNA from 1 species
AUGCUUGCUUCAGCAACACUUAUACUAAAAUUGGAAUGAUAUAGAAAAGAUUAACAUGGUCUCUGUGCAAGGAUGACACACAAAUUCAUGAAGCAUUCCAUGUUUUA